rnacentral:rRNA from 1 species
CACGUAGGCACCAAGCGUUGUCCGGAUUUAUUGGGCGUAAAGAGCUCGUAGGCGGUUGAGUAAGUCGGGUGUGAAAACUCUGGGCUUAACCCAGAGCCGCCACUCGAUACUGCUCUGACUUGAGUUCGGUAGGGGAGCAGGGAAUUCCUAGUGUAGCGGUGAAAUGCGCAGAUAUUAGGAAGAACACCAGUGGCGAAGGCGGCUCACUGGCCCGGUACUGACGCUGAGGCGCGAAAGCGUGGGGAGCAAACAGG